GAGAUGGUUUAUUUUUCCGCUAGUAAAAGUGAAGAGAGCGAAUCGGACGUUCAUCGCUUAAAGAUGCAGUAAUUUAGCAGCAUCAUUUUGCAUAAUAUAUACAUUUUUGCGAUAUCCCUGAGAGGGCAAGUCUGGUUUCAGCAGCCGCGGUAAUUCCAGCUCUCAAAGUGAUAUCGUCAUUGCUGCGGCUAAAAAGCUCGUAGUUGGGUCUGCGCCUCAGGACCUGGUCCGCCCACUGGGCGAGAACUGGGCUCCUGGGCUAGUUCUCCUGGUUUUCCCUACGUUGCCUUCAUCGGUCGCAUAGGGUGGCUAGCGACGAGUUUACUUUGAAAAAAUUAGAGUGCUUCACGCGGGCUUAUGUCUGAAUACUCGUGCAUGGAAUAAUAGAAUAGGAUCUCGGUUCUAUUUUGUUGGUUUUCUGAUCUGAGAUAAUGGUUAAGAGGGACGGACGGGGGCAUUCGUAUCGCUGCGUGAGAGGUGAAAUUCUUGGACCGUAGCGAGACGUCCGACUGCGAAAGCAUUUGCCAAGAAUGUCUUCAUUAAUCAAGAACGAAAGUCAGAGGUUCGAGGGCGAUCAGAUACCGCUCUAGUUCUGACCGUAAACGAUACCAACUAGCGUUCCGUCGGCGGUAAAUACGCCUUGACGGGCGGCUUCCCGGAAACGGAAGUCUUUCAGUUCUGGGGGAGGUAUGGUUGCAAAGAUGAAACUUAAAGGAGGGGCACCACCAUGAGUGGAGCCUGCGGCUUAAUUUGACUUAAUACGGGAAAACUCACCUGGCCCGGACACCGUGAGGAUUGACAGAUUGAGAGCUCUUUCUUGAUUCGGUGGUUGGUGGUGCAUGGCCGUUCUUAGCUGGUGGAGUGAUUUGUCUAGUUUAUUGCGAUAACGAGCGAGACUCUAGCCUAUUAAAUAUUCAUCGGAUAAGCAAGUCCGGAAGACUUCUUAGGGGGACAAGCGGUAUUCAGCCGCAUGAAGUUGAGCAACAACAGGUCUGUGAUGCCCUUAGAUGUCCAGGGCUGCACGCGCGCUACACUGGAGGAAUCGGCAUGCUGUAACCAUUGCCGAAAGGUAUUGGUAACCCCUUGAAAAUCCUCCAUGAUCGGGAUCGGGAACUGCAAUUAUUUCCCUUGAACGAGGAAUUCCUAUGAAAGUGUGAAUCAUCAGCUCACGUUGAUUACGUCCCUGCCCUUCGUACACACCGCCCGUCGAUGCCCAGGAUGAGCCGUUUCGAGAAAAGCGGAGACUGCUGUUUCGAGACCUUUCGAGGUGGAGAUUCUUUGGUGGAAACCGCCUUGAUCGCAGUGGCUUGGACCGGGCAAAAGUCGUAACAAGGUUUCUGUAGGUGAACCCGCGGAAG
rnacentral:rRNA from 1 species